UACGGAGGAUGCAAGCGUUAUCCGGAAUGAUUGGGCGUAAAGCGUCCGCAGGUGGCUAUGUAAGUCUGCUGUUAAAGAGUGAGGCUCAACCUCAUAAGAGCAGUGGAAACUACAUGGCUAGAGUGCGUUCGGGGCAGAGGGAAUUCCUGGUGUAGCGGUGAAAUGCGUAGAUAUCAGGAAGAACACCGGUGGCGAAAGCGCUCUGCUAGGCCGCAACUGACACUCAGGGACGAAAGCUAGGGGAGCGAAUGGG
rnacentral:rRNA from 1 species